GAAGGGGGCUAGCGUUGUCCGGAAUUACUGGGCGUAAAGCGCGCGUAGGCGGUUACGCAAGUCGGGCGUGAAAGCCCGGGGCUCAACCCCGGAACUGCGUCCGAGACUGCGUGACUUGAGGCCGGAAGAGGAGAGCGGAAUUCCCAGUGUAGAGGUGAAAUUCGUAGAUAUUGGGAAGAACACCGGUGGCGAAGGCGGCUCUCUGGUCCGGUUCUGACGCUGAGGCGCGAAAGCGUGGGGAGCAAACAGGAUUAGAUACCCUGGUAGUCCACGCCGUAAACGAUGAGUGCCAGACGUCGGGGGGCUCGCCCCUCGGUGUCGACGCUAACGCAUUAAGCACUCCGCCUGGGGAGUACGGCCGCAAGGUUA
rnacentral:rRNA from 1 species